GCAUGGAGGCUGAGGCAGUCCGCGGAGUCACAGGUAAGGGGUGCUGCGGUCCCCACGUAGCCAAUCGAGGGCGAAGGACGCGAAUGGUAGCGGGCAGAGUGCCGCACACCCGUCGCCACAACAGCUUGGGGUGCAGUGCGAGGCUAAGGGCCUCUCCUCUCUUUCUCUCUCUCUUCCUCGGAUUCAUAUAAGUCCCAGGCUAGCGGGAGCUGGAGGAGGAACCUCCAGAGUUGAUAGUCUUAGAUGGCUCUGGGCUGGGUCCUCACCCGGGUCUCCGGUUCUGUUUCUCACCCCUCCCCCACAACCCUCAACACCGGCCUUGGGGACCUUGGACCUGGGCUUGCUGGCCAGGCUGGGGAAUGAGCUCCGAGGUGAGAGAGAAGUCCGAACAGCAACCCAUUCCUACUUUCCAGCAAGGAGGACCCAGGAAGCGCCUGGACCGAGAGAAGUGUCCCGGGAAUCCACGCUCUGGGCCAGCCUCUUUGCUGGCUCCAGGGACACAACUCACAUGCCUCUUCCCGCCCAGUUUCAGGAUUUGAAGAUACUUUCUUGAGCCGGCCACCUCUGAGGUCUUAGGGGAUGCCAUUUCAGGCCUUUGGCUAGACAUCCUGGUCACAGGUGGCUGGCUGUGUCGCACGGAUAGUCACACUGCACACAGCCCACCUACAGUAAAGUCAAUCAUGGCAGGGGCGCAUUUGAGGCUGGCAGGUAGCCACUCGCUCUUAUGACCUACUUUAAACGUUGCAAUUGAGUUGUUUUUCUCCUGUUUUCAGGUGCGUGAGAUAAGGAGAGAUUGUAGCCACUAGCUAAUUAUAUGGAUUAGUAAGGAUUUAGUUGAUCUAGAGAUUAAGAAAAGGCUCGUCUUUAAUUUUGGAAAGGGAGCUAUUUCUCUUUUGUUUUAGUCUUGUGCACUUUUUUUUUUUUCUAGAAAGUUAAGAGUGCUGUUUCCAGUUUACACGCUGGAAGACUGGAAUAAAAGUCUUGCUUUUUUGAUCUUCCUCAUCUACAAAACAGGAGAAGCCCCCUAGGGUUUAUUAAGCACAGCAGUCUCUCAUUACACUCCCAUCUCUACUAGUGGGUCUCUUUCCCCUCCCCUAGAGUGAGCAGGUCCUUCCCCAUCUUUGCUUCAGAGAGCUUCCCCUCCCAGGCCCAUGUGAUGGGAAAAAAAGAAUAGUAAUUUCAUCUUCUGGAAAAGAAUCGUUGGCCUGAGACAGUUUAUGGCUUUUCCCUGUAUGCGCUCCGACCUUUGCUGUGGUUUUGAUGGCCACCGGUGGCUCAGAUGACACACAGCAGUCUCCCAUUUAUCAUUUCCACAUGUGUGAGAUCCUAAUGGGUUGGAGGCUUGCAUAGUUGAACUGUUGCCUGUGCUUUGAUAGCUGUUUCCAGAAACAGCUUGAGCAAAUCUCGUCUACUGGGGAAUCCCUUUCUUUUUAGUAGAGAAGCAUGAAAGGAAAAAAAAAUAAUAAUGCUUUCAGGUAAGGUGACUUGCCAGCCUCUACUUAGCUUCACCGCUGAAAACCGAGGAAGGACAUUCCUCCCGCAGCUGUGCUCUGUGUUCGCAGGAGGGGCCCCCGGGAGGUUUGGUUUGGGGCAGUGCCAUCCAAAAAGAGAUUUGGGGGUAUCCACAAUAAUUUACAUCCUGAUGCCCCCCCCCCCAUAUCCGUCUCCUCCCUCCUCUCUCUACAUGUUUUUUGGUUCCCUGAUGCCAAAAACCUUCUUAGGUUCCACUGGGCCAUCUGUUGCUGUCAUUUCAGCUUAGAACAGAAUGGAAAGGAAAGAGAAAGCCAGACACAGCCUGGUCUUGUUACCAUCCUUUUUUCUUUCUUCUACUUCUUCUUUUUCUUUCUUUCUUUCUUUCUUUUUUUUUUUUAUCUUGAACUUCUUCCCUUAGCUAUGGACUGCUUUAUGAGGCUGCAUUGCCUCAUAAGGAUUAGUUGAGGCCCUGUGUAUGUGGGAACUCAUUGCUGGGCCCUGUGUCAUAUUAAUAGUGAGCAUAGAGAAAGCCAUUUCUUUUGCCUUUUGAAAAGUGGGAUGUCCUGAUAAUUUGUGCUGCUAAUAAAGCAGAGAGGAUUGACCGAUAACGGAGCUAACAAGCAGGUUGGGGGUAGUUCAGAAACUUGCAUUGUUUGCACGGCUUUCUAUGGAAGGGAACAAGAGGUCAAGGAACAGGGAGAAGUGAGUGGGGGCUUGUUUGGAGGCCUUCCCAGGUCCUUUUAAAAGAAUUGAGCAUGCCAAAGACCAUAUGUCGGUUUGUUUGUUUGUGUGUGUGUGUGUGUUUGUUUGUUUGUUUGUUUUGAGCCCUCUUCAGAUCCCAAGGAGCUAUGCCAAGAAGUACUGGUAUGGGCAGAGCCCUGAAGUGGGGCUGGGGGAAAGGAGAGGACAUGUCACAGGACUCUAAAGGGGCCAGACACAGCUAUAGUUUGAAAGGCAUUUGCAGAGGCAAGAAAAGGAAAGAAUAUUAUUAGGUGGAGGUCUCCCACCUUGUCAGACUCAGGUCACCAGCUUUGGUGACAAGUGCCUUUACCCACUGAGCCAUCUCACUGGCCCGGCCUGUGCGUACUUGUGUGUGUCUGUGUGCGCACGCGUGUGCACUCACAGUUCACUUUUAGCAUGCUGUAUGUCAGCUAUAGUCCUGAGCCCUUCGCAGGCAGGACUGUAGCUGACCUUUACAUCAGACAGAACUGGUGAGGAAACAGGCCCAGAGAUGGACUGGGGUGAUCUGUCCAUAAAGUGGCAACACUGGCAUUAAAACAGAGGUUUCUGGGGGGCUGGGGGUGUGACUCGGAGCAUUGGGUUUCCUCAGAAAGUGGGAACUCUCCUCUCCAGUUCAAGAAAGAGAGAGAGAGAGAGAGAGAGACCAUGUAGCUGGUUGAGUCAGUUCAUAAAGGUGUUUCAUAGAUGACCUCAUGUUAACACAAGCUUAAGUCACACCACCAGUAGUUUGGAUCUUUUGUAGUCCAUGAUGACUGAGUGUCCUCGGAGGGGGAUGUGGGUUUGGCAGGUUUGGGGUCUCAGUGUCUGGGAAACGGGACCUCAGUGAGGACAGGAUGGAGAGGGGCUUUGCUCACAGCUGUCCUGGAGCGCCCCACUGGGGUUUCCAGUGAGACAGGAAAGGGAGGGAGCGAAAGUGGAGAGCGGUGUGUAAACGUGUACUUGGCUCUGAAGGUUGUAGGCUGCUCCCUCCUCAAGCAGACUCUUGUGGGUCCUUCUGCUUAGUGCCCUGAGCUCCCUUGGAGAGAGUGGAGGCAGCAGUUCCUGUUGGAUGUUGGCAGAAGCCCUUGAUGGCUCUGCAUCUAGGAAGGAUGGCUGGGAGAGAAGCUUUGCAAUCAGGUGUAUCAAGCUUGCAUGCUUUGGGUAGAGUGUCCUGGCAAGGGCUCUGGGUACCUUGACUUCUAGCAGGGCCAGUUCUCCCAGUAGCUGAGUUUCUGUGUAUUCUCCAUUUUGUGAUUCUUGGUGCACUGUGGCAUCUGUACUAUAGCCAGUUCUUGCUUGCAAAGCACUAGAUUUCUGCACUUUCUGGGCUAGAUAUGGCCGGGCUCACAAUCCCCUUCUAAGUGUCUUGUCGUGGACUAGUCUGAUGGGGUGUAUGACCAAGUGGCCAGGAAUCAGACUGAGCCCUGGGACAGAAGGCUAACUGACUCCAGCUAAGGUUGUGCAGCCCUGAAAAGUUCUGCAUCGAAGGACUGUAGAAAAUGAAUGUACUUUGUGGUAGAGGAAAAAGGGUUUGUGGCUACAGUUGAAGCACUUGGUCAGAGGGCAGACUGUCUUUUAAGGGUGCAAUUGCAGUUCGGUGUCUGCUGGUAGCCUCUGAAGGUCUUGGGUCUUAGAGUACGGUUAAUGAGCGUGGGGCAGCUGUGAUUCUGAGACGCUAUGCACACCUAUAAUCCCAGUACCCUGUAGUCUGACCCAGGAGAAUUAUAAGGUCAAAGUCAGCUUGGUCAGCUUAGUGAGACUUUGUCUCCCACCCCCAUCCCCAAUACACAC
rnacentral:lncRNA from 1 species